GUGCAGCCGCCGUGGUAAUACGGAGGGUGCAAGCGUUGUCCGGAAUCACUGGGUGUAAAGGGUGUGCAGGCGGGGCAGCAAGUCGGAGGUGAAAGUCCAUGGCUUAACCAUGGAAGUGCCUUCGAAACUGUUGCUCUUGAGUCCCGGAGAGGCUGUCGGAAUUCGUGGUGUAGCGGUGAAAUGCGUAGAUAUCACGAGGAACACCAGAGGCGAAAGCGGGCAACUGGACGGGUACUGACGCUCAGGCACGAAAGCGCGGGGAGCAAACAGGAUUAGAUACCCGGGUAGUCC
rnacentral:rRNA from 1 species